GUUCUAAGGGCGGUGAAGUCAGACCGGAAGGACUGGUGGAGCGCUUAGAAGUGAGAAUGCCGGUAUGAGUAGCGAAAGAAGGGUGAGAAUCCCUUCCACCGAAUAUCUAAGGUUUCCUGAGGAAGGCGCGUCCGCUCAGGGUUAGUCGGGACCUAAGCCGAGGCCGAUAGGCGUAGGCGAUGGACAACAGGUAGAGAUUCCUGUACCAGUGCUAAUUGUUUAACCGAUGGGGUGACACAGAAGGAUAGGGAAUCG
rnacentral:rRNA from 1 species